rnacentral:lncRNA from 12 species
UGCUUGGAGCCUAGUGAGCACCCCUAGAGGUUCCUACAUUUGUUUAAGAUUGAACAUGGAUGCUACGGUGGCCCAGGAGACAGAGCAUUAAUCUCUCCUGUAUAUGGGGCAGUGGUCAACAGUCAAAGGCUGGUAUGGACCCUCCUAAGAGUCAGCUGGAUUUUCCAAGAGAAAGAGUAUCUGCAUUUCCAAAUCACGGGCUCUCAAUCGGACUCCCCUCACCUCCUUUAUACCUGCACCAAGGAGCCGCCACUAUUUCCAGCUCCAGCUCCUGCACUAUACCUGGUCGAUUCCUCUAGCUUAUGAC